CUUGAACGCUGGCGGCAGGCCUAACACAUGCAAGUCGAGCGGAGCGGCGGACGGGUGAGUAAUUCCUGGGAAUCUGCCUGGUAGUGGGGGAUAACGUCCGGAAACGGGCGCUAAUACCGCAUACUCUCAGAUGAGCCUAGGUCGGAUUCGCUAGGUGGUGGUGUAAAGGCCUACCCAGGCGACGAUCCGUAACGGGUCUGAGAGGAUGAUCAGUCACACUGGAACGUAGACACGGUGCAGACUCCUACGGGAGGCAGCAGUGGGGAAUAUUGGACAAUGGGCGAAAGCCUGAUCCAGCCAUGCCGAGUGUGUGAAGAAGGUCGUCGGAUGGUAAAGCACUUGCAGUUGGGAGGCGUUACCAACAGAAUAAGCACCGGCUAACUUCGUGCCAGCAGCCGCGGUAAUAC
rnacentral:rRNA from 1 species